CAAAGAAUAGUUUAUAAAAAUAAUAAUUUUGGAGAUUAUAGAUAAAGAAGAUCUUUUUCUUUGA
rnacentral:tRNA from 1 species